UACGGGGGGUGCGAGCGUUGUCCGGAAUCACUGGGCGUAAAGGGCGCGUAGGUGGUUUGAUAAGGGUGUGGUGAAAGUCCGGAGCUCAACUCCGGAUCUGCCGUGCCGACUGUCAAACUCGAGGACUGUAGAGGCAGACGGAAUUCCGGGUGUAGCGGUGGAAUGCGUAGAGAUGUGGAGGAACACCGAUGGCGAAGGCAGCCCCCUGGGCUAACACUGACGCUCAUGCACGAAAGCGUGGGGAGCAAACAGG
rnacentral:rRNA from 1 species